AAUGCCACAUCUUUCUCCCCAGGUGCACAGCAUUGUGUCCAGUGUCCAGACCAGAAGUACCCAAUCAGGAAGAGAAAUCGCUGCCUCCCCAGAGUCCCGACCUUUGUGGCCUUAGAGGAGUCUCUGGGGAUGUCACUGGCCUGCACAGCUCUUUGCUUCUAUGUCCUCACAGCUGCGGUUUUGUGGGUCUUUGUGAAGCACCGAGACACCCCCCUAGUCAAGGCCAAUAACCGGGCUCUCAGCCAUGUCCUGCUCAUCUCCCUCCUCCUGUGCGUCCUCUGCUCCUUACUCUUCAUCAAUCAUCCCCACACAGCCACCUGCGUCCUCCAACAGAUCACAUUUGGAGCUGUGUUCACUGUUUUAGCCAAAACCCUGGCUGUGAUCCUGGCAUUCAAGGCCGGGAAACCAGGAAGAACCAUGAGGUGACUGCUGGUAACAGAAGCUGCUAUGUCUUUCCCAUGUGCUCCAUGAUCCAGGUGAUUAUCUGUGGAGUCUGGCUGGAAACUUCUCCCCCUUUCCUUGAGAUGGACACACUCUGAGCCAAGGAGCUCCUCAUCAUGUGGAACAAGGGCUUGGUCACUGCCUUCUACUGUGUCCUGGGCCACCUGGGCUCCUUAGCCCUGGGGACCUUCUCCUUGGCUUUCCUGGCCAGGAACCUGCCUGACACCUUCAGUGAAGCCAAUUUCCUGACCUUCAGCAUGCUGGUGCUCCUCAGUGUCUGGGUCACCUUCCUCCCCAUCUGCCACAGCACCAAGGGCAAGGUCAUGGUGGCCGUGGAGAUCGUCUCCAUCUUAGCCUCCAGUGCUGGGCUCCUAGGCUAUAUCUUUGCCCCAAAGUGCUAUAUUACCCUCCUAAGACUUGAGAACUCUCUGAAAGGUUUAAAGUAUCAAAUAGAUUCUAAGAGAAAUCUGCAUUCAGGUUUAUCUCAUAGUAAGUUGCUAUUACUUGGCUUUUUAACAGUAUACCAGAUAGAUAUUUCUUAUUCAUUCCAAUAAUAGCAUCAGAAUUGCUUUACUUCUAUUUCGCAGAGGAUCUUUUUUCUCUUUUUAAAAGUCUCAGUUAUUUAGAGUUAUGGAUAAAUGUUCUAUCUCAGAUUAAUGGCUCCUCAAAGCUCCUGCUACUGAAUCUAGCUGGGUCCUCCAUCAUUAAGUAUACAAUAAGUACAUCCUUCUUGUUUCCUCCACUCCUGUAUCCAGAAAGUUCAUUUUAUCUGUAAAAACAUUUCAGACCACCCUUGAUUAUGUCUGACAAGAGGAAAGAUUCCUAUUAGGAGAAAAUACUGAAGGUAUACAUGCUUUUCACACAUUAAUGCAAUUCUUUCAGAGAUUUUUAUUGAAAAUAAUAUUUUUUCUGAAUGCAGAAAGUAGCCAAUGAAAAAUACUGGUAGCUAUGGCGGAUUCAUGUUGAUGUUUGACAGAAAACAACAAAAUUCUGUAAAGCAAUUAUCCUUCAAUUAAAAAAUUAAAAUCUUUAAAAUUACUGGUAGUAUAUUUUCUUCAUUCAAAUCAUAAUUUUGCAAUUUACUUAAAAUAGAAACUUAAUCUUAACUCCUGAGUUUCCAAAUAAACAUGGGCUUUUUCUGGAGUCUCUACAUUAAUAUUCAGUUUGUUCAGUUUUUUCCUCCAAUAACAAACUUCAGAGAAAUAUUUUGGUAUGUUACUUUUCCCCACAUCCUCUCUCAUUUUAUCCCCCAAUAAAAGUUAUUUCUCUUUGAAUAAAUUCCUUUCCUUGUGAAUUUGAGAAUCAGCAUCUCUAAUUUCUAAAAAUUAUACUAUGUUUCUAUCUAUAUCAUACUUUAAGACAUAUUUGUCUUAAAGAAAAUGAGCUCAUUAAAAUGUUUUAAUCAUGGAUAAAGAUGGUAUUCUCUAUUUAAUCAGGAAUUUUAUUUCCUCUCAAUGCUUUAGUUUUUGUUUUUCUGUUGUUCAGUUGCUAUGUCUGACUCUUUGGGACCCCAGGGACUGCAGCACACCAGGCUUCACUGUCUUUCACCAUCUUCUGGAGUUUGUUCAAAUUCAGGGGUCCAUUGAGUCUAUGAUGCCAUCCAUUUCAUCCUCUGCACCUCCC